ACACGCCGACGGAGCAAAGUCGUUUCUGCUUUGUUUCUUCGUCAACGCUGAUCGCCGAUGGAACGUCGUUGGCAAAUCGUUUGCGAUUUACCGCGCUUUCCUUCACACAACUGUCAAAAUCGCUCUUCGCGGCCUCGAAAUCCUCCCCUCGGGCGAACUUGACGGUUAUGCGCGAGCGCGCGUUCUCGCAGCACAGUAUAUGCCAGUACGCGGAAGCCACGAAGAGACGCGCUUUACAUCGAGCGGCGCGCGGUUUCACGCGGGUAUAUACAUAUACAUGCUUUUCUAAGGAAAAUCUAUAGUAUGCAGAAAUAGUAUAAUUGCAUCCCGGAUAACCGGUUUAGCUGAUGGAAUUUAUACAGCGAGCAAGGCGUGGCUGGUAAUGGUUAGAGGUCGAUGAGGACGAAUAUAGUAGGGGAACUUAACGGAACAUGUCGAAAACGGCCGAAUCUGCCGUCUAUUGAUCGUAACGAAUCUCGGUCCCAGAUAUUCGAAUAGCACAAUGCCUGGAUUCUAUAUUUAGAACGUACCCUUAUAGAAAAUUGACUUUAUUUUAUUUGGUAGACUUAAAGAAAAGAUCUUGUGUGCGAUGAAUAGAACGAUUGUGAUUGAUUCUGAGCUCAUUUGUAUGCCACACCCCUCCCUUCUCCUCCCGCCGAGCAGGAAGGAAAAGCGAUGCAGUUGUACAUAGAUUAUUUAAAUAAAUAUUUUUGAAGUUA